rnacentral:lncRNA from 1 species
GGCCCUCUCCUCUAUCUUCUUUGCUUCUCAAGUUGAUGCAUGAUCUGACCAUCAUGCACAAGGGCCUAACCGACUUUGGCCGGCUCAGCCAUUCUUUUGAGGAGAUGGACUAGUCCAUUGAGGCACGAGUUGAAGUUGCUGAGGAGCUCCAAAGGAUAGCCAAGGAGUGGGAGGUGAAGAAGAUGGAGGAUAAAUAACUAAACCAUCAGGCCA